UACGGAGGAGGCAAGCGUUAUCCGGAAUUAUUGGGCGUAAAGCGUCCGCAGGUGGCGAUUCAAGUCUGCGGUCAAAGACUGGGGCUUAACCCUGGAAAGGCCGUGGAAACUGAAUAGCUAGAGUGCAGUAGGGGUAGAGGGAAUUCCCGGUGUAGCGGUGAAAUGCGUAGAGCUCGGGAAGAACAUCGGUGGCGAAAGCGCUCUACUGGACCGCAACUGACACUCAGGGACGAAAGCUAGGGGAGCGAAUGGG
rnacentral:rRNA from 1 species